GGACAGAUCAGGUCAUUGAUGUUUCUUAUA
rnacentral:piRNA from 1 species